GAUGAACGCUGGCGGCGUGCUUAACACAUGCAAGUCGAACGAAGCAUUUGCGACAGAUUUUUUCGGAAUGAAGUUGCUUAUGACUGAGUGGCGGACGGGUGAGUAACGUGUGGGUAACCUGCCUCGUACUGGGGGAUAGCAGCUGGAAACGGCUGGUAAUACCGCAUAAGCGCACAUAGUUGCAUGACAUUGUGCGAAAAACUCUGGUGGGAUAAGAGGGACGCGCGUCAGAUUAGAUAGUUGGGGAGAUAAAAGGCCACCAAGGCGAGGAUCACUAGCCGAGAAGUGAGGCUGAGCCGACACAUUUGGGGUGGGACGCAGUCCAGAAUCCUACGGGAGGCAGGAGUGGGGAACAGUGCAAAAUGGAGGAAACUAUGAUGGAGCGACGACGGGUGAGUGAAGAAGUAAGUCGUUAUGUAAAGCUCUAUCAGCAGGGAAGAUAGUGACGGUACCUGACCAAGAAGCUCCGGCUAAAUACGUG
rnacentral:rRNA from 1 species